rnacentral:rRNA from 1 species
UACGUAGGGGGCUAGCGUUGUCCGGAAUCAUUGGGCGUAAAGCGCGUGUAGGCGGCCCGAUAAGUCCGCUGUGAAAGUCCAGGGCUCAACCCUGGGAUGCCGGUGGAUACUGUCGGGCUCGAGUCCGGAAGAGGCGAGUGGAAUUCCUGGUGUAGCGGUGAAAUGCGCAGAUAUCAGGAGGAACACCAAUGGCGAAGGCAGCUCGCUGGGACGUGUCUGACGCUGAGACGCGAAAGCGUGGGGAGCAAACAGG